ACCAACCUUCAGGGUAGGGUGAAAUUCCCGACCGGCGGUAAUGACGAACGCACGUCUGAGCCCGCGACUCGCUGUCCGUAGAUGUUGGAUGGCGACUGACUUGGUGGAAUUCCAAGGCCGACGGUAAAGUCCGGAUGGGAGAAGGUAUUU
rnacentral:ncRNA from 2 species